CAGCCGCCGCGGGAAUACGUAGGGCGCAAGCGUUAUCCGGAAUUAUUGGGCGUAAAGAGCUCGUAGGCGGUUUGUCGCGUCUGCCGUGAAAGUCCGGGGCUCAACCCCGGAUCUGCGGUGGGUACGGGCAGGCUAGAGUGAUGUAGGGGAGACUGGAAUUCCUGGUGUAGCGGUGAAAUGCGCAGAUAUCAGGAGGAACACCGAUGGCGAAGGCAGGUCUCUGGGCAUUAACUGACGCUGAGGCACGAAAGCGUGGGGAGCAAACAGGAUUAGAUACCCGUGUAGUCCCUGUCUCUUAUAC
rnacentral:rRNA from 1 species